CAGCCGCCGCGGUAAUACAGAGGGUGCGAGCGUUAAUCGGAUUUACUGGGCGUAAAGCGUGCGUAGGCGGCUUUUUAAGUCGGAUGUGAAAUCCCUGAGCUUAACUUAGGAAUUGCAUUCGAUACUGGGAAGCUAGAGUACGGCAGAGGGGGAUGGAAUUCCGCGUGUAGCAGUGAAAUGCGUAGAGAUCUGGAGGAAUACCGAUGGCGAAGGCAGCCAUCUGGCCUAAUACUGACGCUGAGGUACGAAAGCAUGGGGAGCAAACAGGAUUAGAUACCCCCGUAGUCCCUGUCUCUUAUAC
rnacentral:rRNA from 1 species